rnacentral:rRNA from 1 species
UACAGAGGUCUCAAGCGUUGUUCGGAGUUACUGGGCGUAAAGCGUGCGUAGGCGGUGUCUUAAGUUUGUUGUGAAAUCUCCCGGCUUAACCGGGACGGGUGCGGCGAAUACUGAGAUGCUGGAGUGCCGGAGAGGUAAGGCGGAAUUCCUGGAUGUGAGCGGUGGAAAUGCGUAGAUAUCAGGAGGAACACCUGCGGUGUAGACGGCUUACUGGACGGUAACUGACGCUGAGGCACGAAAGCGUGGGUAGCAAACAGG